AUGGGUAACUAACAGGUAACCAAGAAUAGUUGAUGUCGUGUGAGCUUUCCUUCUCGUGUGUCUUAGAUGCUCUGAUACGUAACGGGAUGGGAACUUUGUUAUUGCUUUUCUAUUCCUUACGUAUUGUUUUUGAAGAUUUAUGACUAUGUUUUUAGAUUGGAUUUUUAUGCGACAUUUAUGAAGAGGCCUUCGUGCCAAAGACUGUUUUAGUUAUUGAAAUAAAUUCCACUGC
rnacentral:lncRNA from 1 species